GACGAACGCUGGCGGCGUGCUUAACACAUGCCAGUCGAACGGAAAGGCCCUGCUUUUGUGGGGUGCUCGAGUGGCGAACGGGUGAGUAACACGUGAGUAACCUGCCCUUGACUUUGGGAUAACUUCAGGAAACUGGGGCUAAUACCGGAUAGGAGCUCCUGCUGCAUGGUGGGGGUUGGAAAGUUUCGGCGGUUGGGGAUGGACUCGCGGCUUAUCAGCUUGUUGGUGGGGUAGUGGCUUACCAAGGCUUUGACGGGUAGCCGGCCUGAGAGGGUGACCGGCCACAUGGGGCCUGAGAUACGGCCCAGACUCGUACGGGAGGCAGCAGUGGGGAAUAUUGCACAAUGGGGGGAAGCCUGAUGCAGCAACGCCGCGGGCGGGAUGACGGCCUUCGGGUUGUAAACCGCUUUCGCCUGUGACGAAGCGUGAGUGACGGUAAUGGGUAAAGAAGCACCGGCUAACUACGUG
rnacentral:rRNA from 1 species